GCAAACACGCAGAUACAGUUUAUCUAAAUAUGGACAUAUAUGUAUGUACGAUUGUAUGUGUGCAGUUAAGGUUGUGUGCCACAUUGCUUGCAAACGCAGUGCAGCAAUUGAAGUGCUAAUAUCUGUAGUUGCUGCCAUUACAUUCAUUUCAGCGUUUCCAGCGAUAAUCAUUUGCCAUAGUGCUAGCUCUCUUCCUCUCUCCGGCUGUUAUAAGUUGUGCGACAACUCAGUUAAUUUAACGUGUGAAGCUACUUGUUGACACCUAUUAACUGAGUUUCGAGUGUGUGUGUAUGUGCAUAUACCCUGCAGUAAAAUUGAGAACCGGUUACAAAAAAAUACAGUUCUGAGUCAAUCACUUGGCAUGUGUUUUAAACCGUGCUGUUUUAGAAUGCAGCGAAAGACAGUUUAAUGUAUCAAGCCUAAUGUAAAAUAUCGAUAAUCACCUAUCGUUAGCUAUUGUAACCCAUCUUCGUAUUUCAAUUUCAAAAGUGCGUUGCAAAAAGUUAUUCAAUUCAAAAAGGCGUAAACUUAAUAUAUAUGUAGAUACAGAUAUACAAUUGUAAGUGAAAGUUUUAAAGAAAUUGUUGUUGACGAAUGAAAAUGAUGAAAAAUUGGAUACAAAUUUUAGGAAAAAACAUUAAGGUUGCAACACGUUGUAUAGUUUGUGAUGCCCCGGUUAAAGCUUUUAUUUGUGUUAUUCCAGGUGUUAAAAUGAUUAGCCAAGUAGCCAUAGAUUGUAUGAUGAAGAUAUUAAAUACAAUUUAUACAAUAUAACCAUAACAUAUCUACAUAGUUGUUUUUUUUUCAGAAAUGCAAUUUAACAAAAUAAAGCCAUAAUGGAAGCUUUAGCUGAGCAAAAAGUAUUGCAGCAGAAAUUAAUUCGCUAAGAGUCAGUGGGUGGCCAAAUAGCCGACUUUUUCCCGCUGCAAAACAGAGGAAGGGCUUUGGAGGAUCAAAUUGUACAGAAAACAGCGAAAUUUUUGAAAGUUUCUACUAUAAAAAGGUUAAUUCAACAAAAUAUUACACGCAACUUAAGAAAAAUCCGGAACGAUGGUAUGGUUAAAGUCCUAUGAAAAGUUUUAUGCUGCACUACUAAAAUAUAUAGAUUCAAUUUCACCAACACCAAAUUUAAUUGCUGCGGAGGAUCACAACCGGAAGGCUAUAAGGAUGCAAAAAACAGAAAUUUCAAAAUGUCGCCUGCAAAAACUUCAUAAUUUACAUUUCAUUUUAAUGCCUUAUACUUGCAUUUAACUUUAUUCAAUUUAAGUAAUGUAAAACUUUUUCAUACAAAACCUAUUUCAACACAAAAUAAAUAAAUUCUAAAUGAAUUCAAAAUUUAU
rnacentral:lncRNA from 1 species